UACAGAGGCCCAUAGCGUUGUUCGGAUUUACUGGGCGUAAAGGGCGCGUAGGCGGCGAGGCGUGUCGAGUGUGAAAUCUCCGGGCUCAACCCGGAAAGUGCGCUAAACUACCUUGCUCGAGUACGGGAGAGGGAAUCGGAAUAUAGGGUGUAGCGGUGAAAUGCGUUGAUAUCCUAUAGAACACCGGAGGCGAAGGCGGAUUCCUGGAACGUUACUGACGCUGAGGCGCGAAAGUCGGGGGAGCAAACAG
rnacentral:rRNA from 1 species